rnacentral:tRNA from 4 species
GUCUCUGUAGCUCAGCAGGAUAGAGCACCGCUCUCCUAAAGCGGGUGUCGCAGGUUCAAUUCCUGUCAGGGACA